rnacentral:rRNA from 1 species
AAAAGAACUUUGAAGAGAGAGUUCAACAGUACGUAGAACCGCCUAGAGGUAAACGGGUGGAUCCGCAAAGUCGGCCUGCGAAAUUCAGCUCGGAAGGCUGGUCGCGAGCAGUGGGGCUAGAGAUCUCUCGUGGACUCUCCUGCUGCUGGUACGCUAGCUUGACGUGUGCGCUUUUCGCGGGCAGACGCGCCGACACCGGUUUUCGGGCAGUCAGAAGGCAGCGAGGAAGGUAGGUGGGCGCUUCGGCGUUUACUGUUAUAGCUUCGCCUGUGCCGAUAUGCUCGGAGACCGAGGAGCCGCCGCUUGGCCAUCGGCUACCCUGGUUUCCUUGGGGGUUCGACUGGCAGAGACUGGCAAACCGUGUCUGCCGACCGCCCUCUCUGGACGGACGGGGGUGCUUUUUCAGUCUGCCGAGCAUAUGGUCCGUGGCGAAUCGGUCGGCACUCCACCCGACCCGUCUUGAAACACGGACCAAGGAGUCUAACCUGCGCGCGAGUCGUUGGGUAGUACGAAACCCGAAGGCCCCGUGAAAGCGAGGGCCGUCCUUCACUGUGAGGUGCUCUCGUGGGAUCCUGCGUUCUCACUCCCCCAGGCGCACACGAAAAGAAGG